GAGCAACGGGCUACGAACCACAGCCAACGGUAGCUGGGGACAAGCUGUUCACAUAAUUUUUAACACAUUUAGUAUAGAUAUACUAUAGCGAGUAUAGCGAGUGGCGUCCACUCGCGCCUCAGUGUCCGCAACACGCUACCAUGGCGGCCACUCGCUACUUACAACAGGGGAGUGUAACAAAUUGUAGCGGCCAUCGGACCACUAGAGGCGGCCAGCGACCACUCGUGGCAGCCACCGACUACCUUACGCGGAACCAAAGGACGUGACGCGCGACAGCCACCGGUGGCUAUGGUCGGUGGCCCGUUAGCUUGGAGCCUACAUGUUGACGCACAAUUUAACGAGAACUCAACGCAUCAAUAGAAGCGCAUUUUCACGAUGAGUCUACCCAUUGGGAGUUCACCUUUACAGCAAAAUAUUUCAUCAUUCUGACUAUAAAUCUAUUGAUCUUCCUUUGAUAAAAGAAAAAAGUCGGUGACCUUGUCAGAAAAAUAUUUGGUUCGCCAAUAAAAUCAAAAUAUCAGCUCAAUUUGAAAAAUUAUUUAAAAAAAUAUUUACAAUUGAAUACUCAAAUAAGGCUUGGACUGUACAAGACCGAUUCCACUCCUGCUCCUGAGCAAGAGCCUGUGAGGGCCAGACAUUUUCAUUUUAUAAAUGCUGAAAGUUUCUCUGUAUAUUGUCCCCAACACAGAAAGGAACAAUCAGCGUCUAUGAAGUUUGGAUCAUCGUGGCUUUGGCAGAUAACAGCUAACAAAGGUAUAUAAUAUCUUUCGUCAGUGUAAUUUUUUAAUAUUUCACACCUUUGUUAUCUGCCAAAGCCAGAUCCAAACUUCAUAUUUGCUGAAAUUAGUAGACAACCUUCUGCAAUCGAGUAGUACAGGAAAGUGAGAAAUGGUAACUUUAAAAAAAAAUACUCUUGUCAACUCAAAACUGACUCAAAUCUUAGAACCGAGAUGAAACCGACACUGAAUGAAAUCGGAAGCAUAUGAACCCAGCCUAACCACUUUUAAAAA